UGCCAGCCGCCGCGGUAAUACGGGGGGUGCAAGCGUUAUUCGGAAUUAUUGGGCGUAAAGCGCGCGUAGGCGGUUUCGUAAGUCAGAUGUGAAAUCCCCGGGCUUAACCUGGGAACUGCGUUUGAAACUACAAGGCUAGAGUGUGGCAGAGGGGGGUGGAAUUCCGCGUGUAGCAGUGAAAUGCGUAGAGAUGUGGAGGAACACCGAUGGCGAAGGCAGCCCCCUGGGUCAACACUGACGCUGAGGCACGAAGGCGUGGGGAGCGAACAGGAUUGGAUA
rnacentral:rRNA from 1 species